GAGAGGAGCUGGCAUUGAGGAGCUUUGAAGGUUUUAGAGACAGAAAGGAGACAAAGAAAUCAGCUGAGAUUUUUGGAGAGUGAAGUUAUAACAAACAAGUCAUUCAACGGAUGUUUGAAGCACUCAGUGAAAGAACCAAGUUCAGCCACAAAACAGUGUGUCUGGAGUUCAGCAGGGUGGUUGGUAAGAGCGGAGUUCCACGAUGCCCUUGACCAUCAUAGUCCCAGGGUCAUGGAAAUCUUUUAGACAAAGAGGGGCCUCACAGGGCAGGUGUUGGCUGACCUGAUGCAACAAACGAAGGCUUUGAAUGUGACAGAAAUCAGAUGCCUUGUCCUCAGGGGUUUUCCUGUAAUUCUCGGCGAUGAUCCUUCAACUUUCUUCAAGGCCUGCGUUGACAUUGAUGAUGAGGGUUUAUACAAUGAUGUGCCCGUGGGGAUCCUCUGCCAUGAACAGGAAUACAUCACUCCACACAAGCAGUCCCUUCACCACAACGCAUCCUCGGUGGGAAUUGUCUUGGAGGGAAACAUUGUGAUGGAUGCUGAGAGCAUUGUCUGCAGGACUUACCUAUGCACUCCAUUUCAACUACCCAAAGUACAUGACGAACAGUUUUGAUUUUUUUCAACAGGUGCUUCUGAAAUGGGGUAAGACAGACCUGAAAUCUAAACUUCAAACACUUAAGAAUCAGUUGACAAUGUAAGAUCCAGGAUCUGUUCUCCACAAGUUUUUAAAUGUGAGGUUUUUUUUUUUAAUCGAUUGGCAGUAAAAUAAUUUAUUUUCAAUUGGCAGUAAAAGAAGAAAAAGGAAAUAAUAAAUCUGGCCAUUUAUUUACAAGUUUGAUAGAAGGGAAAGUGUAAAUGUAAGGAGAGUGGGAAAGACUGAAAAAACCAAUUUGUGUGGGAUAGAGAAAGCAAGGGGUGGCACGAGGCAGGGAAGAGGGAAUGUAGAGGUGAGGGGAGAGUGUGGGCUCUAGAUGGGGCAUCUACUGUUUUAUUUUUUAACCUUAUUCUGUAUCAUUCACUUUUUUAUCCGGAAAAACAUUUUUUGUUAAGUUCACAAAUGCCAAGAUGGAGGUGUGGGAUAGAGGCGGAGGGGAGAGUAUGGCUGUUAUCUGCUCUCUGUUGUUUUUUACCUUCCUGUUCUGUCCUUUUUCAGUCUCAACCCCUUUUUUGUUUUUUUCAUAGACAAAUUUGUUAUUUCUAAAUGCUAAACUGCCAGUGUUCAGUAGGGCUUCGUUUUAUCUUGCCUGUAUUUCUGGCAAAUUUGAAGAGGCACAGUACGAUGUUGUAAUAAUCAGAGGUGAGUGAGCUUUGUGUGCCAAUAUAUUAGACACUUUUUUUUUUUUACAGAUCAGAAUGCUCACUAAAAGCCUAUUGGGCCAUAACUGUUUCUUUUGUUGCUAAAAAUAAAAUGUUCAAUAAAAACA